GGUCUGCAACUCGACCCCAUGAAGUCGGAGUCGCUAGUAAUCGCAGAUCAGCAACGCUGCGGUGAAUACGUUCCCGGGCCUUGUACACACCGCCCGUCACGUCAUGAAAGUUGGUAACACCCGAAGCCGGUGGCCCAAACUUGUUAGGGAGCCGUCGAAGGUGGGAUCGGCGAUUGGGACGAAGUCGUAACAAGGUACCCGUACCGGAAGGUGCGGGUGGAUCACCUCCUUU
rnacentral:rRNA from 1 species